rnacentral:rRNA from 1 species
GACGGAGGGCGCAAACGUUGUUCGGAAUCACUGGGCAUAAAGAGCACGUAGGUGGCCCAUUAAGUCGGAUGUGAAAGCCCCCGGCUCAACCGGGGAAUGGCAUCCGAAACUGGCGGGCUCGAGGACGGUAGGGGUAAGUGGAACUCCAGGUGGAGCGGUGAAAUGCGUAGAUAUCUGGAGGAACACCGGUGGCGAAAGCGGCUUACUGGACCGUCUCUGACCCUGAGGUGCGAAAGCCAGGGGAGCAAACGGG